rnacentral:rRNA from 1 species
AGAGUUUGAUCCUGGCUCAGGAUGAACGCUGGCGGCGUGUCUAAGGCAUGCAAGUCGAAUGCGGUAGCAAUACUGCAUGGCAAACGGGAGAGUAACACAUUGGCAAUCUACCCCUAAGACGAGGAUAACCUUGCGAAAGCGAGAAUAAUACUCGAUAGUCUCGGAGGACAUAAGUCUUUCGAGUAAAGCUCCGGCGCUUAGGGAGGAGCCUAUGGCCUAUCAGCUAGUUGGUGCGGUAACGGCCCACCAAGGCGACGACGGGUAUGGGGUGCGAGAGCAUGGCCCCACUCACUGGGACUGAGACACUGCCCAGACUCCUACGGGAGGCUGCAGUCAAGAAUCUUCCUCAAUGGGCGAAAGCCUGAAGGAGCGACGCCGCGUGUAUGAUGCUCUCUUCGGAGUGUAAAAUACUUUUAACUGUGACGAAUCAAUGACGGUAGCAGUG